rnacentral:sRNA from 1 species
GCCGGGCAUGGUGGCACGUGCCUGUAAUCCCAGCUACUUGGGAGGCCGAGACAGGAGAAUCGCUAGAACCCAGGAGGCGGAGGUUGCAGUGAGCCAAGAUCAUGCCACUGCACUCCAGCCUGGGUGACAGAGCGAGACUCUGUCUCAA